GCUUGCGUCUUGGCUCAGCGG
rnacentral:miRNA from 1 species